AAGGACAAAAGAAGCUGCAAGUGCACCACCCUGACGGCCUCUAAUGGCUGGUCCGUUUCUCCAGUUUGCAUAGCCUUCCCACCUGUUUGAUCCAUUCUCCUUAUCCUACAGCAAGUAUCUGCUAUGAUGUGGUUUUCUGAAACCUUAUCAGAGUGUGUCACCUUACACAGCAUUUAAGCAGGAGUGGCCUUUAAAUACUGGAGUUUUCGGCUUGUGCAAUCUGAUGAAGACGAUACGCUUCUUCUGUAAUGGCUGAGGAAGAGAUUCUAGGACAUCCAUAUGAAAUAAAUGUGUCUGAUAUCUCUUCCAUUAUGUAUGGUUAUGGUUCAACUUUGAUGGAUCAGCUUUGGGGACGAGGUUUCGUGUCAAAUUCUGUGCGUUCAAAAAUGGUGCCCCACACUUGAGAUCUCCAAUCCCUGUUCGCCUGAGUGCUUGACUGUGAGAACCGGCCACAGGGCGUUGUUCGUGCUGGUCCAGGGGCAGGACGUGCCACCCCCACUAAGGCUUGGAGGACCCAGCCAUCAAUACAUGACUAGUGCUAUUUCACUUUAAAUUUAUGCUUUUUCAUCAACAUACAUUGCUUAUAGGAGUAGGAUCAUUAGCAGGAUAGUAAAGUGCGACUCACAUAAAAAGUUUAAAAUUUUGAACUUUUUUUUUAUCAAUUUUUUUGACUUACUAAACUAUAUUUGAAUCAUGAUAUUAUAAGUAAAAUCAAUAUUUGU